rnacentral:misc_RNA from 1 species
GAUGAAGAACGUAGCGAAAUGCGAUAAGUAAUGUGAAUUGCAGAAUUCAGUGAAUCAUCGAAUCUUUGAACGCACAUUGCGCCCGCCAGUAUUCUGGCGGGCAUGCCUGUUCGAGCGUCAUUACAACCCUCAGGCCCCCGGGCCUGGCGUUGGGGAUCGGCAGAAGCCCCCUGUGGGCACACGCCGUCCCUCAAAUACAGUGGCGGUCCCGCCGCAGCUUCCAUUGCGUAGUAGCUAACACCUCGCAACUGGAGAGCGGCGCGGCCAUGCCGUAAAACACCCAACUUCUGAAUGUUGACCUCGAAUCAGGGAGGAAUACCCGCUGAACUUAAGCAUAUCAAUAAGCGGAGGA